CCAGAUAAUAUUUUUUUUCCUCAGAAGAUUUCAAAAAUGGAAACAAAAUACAAAAAAGCUUCAAAGAGUUUAGCGAGGACUUUUUUUAUUUUUUAUUUACAUGGUGGAGAAGAAAAAAAAAACUCGGGAUGGAUACAGUUGAACACACUGCCUCUACAAUCCUGGUCGUACAAAUAGUGACUAAGAAUUAAAAGAAAGGACUCUUUCUAUUCCAUACUGGAGCUUUGGUUGUUUACAAACCACAUGGAUAUCUGUGGGUGCAGUUUUGUUUUUUUGUUGUUGUUUUUGUUUUUAAUUUUUUGUUCCCACAUAAGACGGGUGGGGUUUGCAAGUGCGCUUCUGCCAUAUGGACAUUGAGUGGUGUUGGUUUGAGGAAAAGUUGCAGGCAUCACAACAACAUGGACAAGAUCCUCUAACUGGACCGUUGGUGUGUGUGUGUGUGUGUGCGUGUGUGUGUGUGUGUGGUCGUGGAUCCUGAGACUUGAUCAACCAUGGAGCGGAGGCAUGAAAAUCAAGGAUGGGCUCUGUUUGGCAGAGAACAGAGUGCAGGGCUGCAUAACCCUAGAGGGAACUGAGAGGGCGAUCUGAGCACACCUGGUUAGUGCACUUGUCUUCACCUCAACCCUCAUGAGCACUCACACCCUGCCCUCACCAACUCACCUAUGCACUUUUGUUCAUUCAAGCUGUGAGGUACCAUUUUGGGGAUGGGAGCACAAUUACAACAGGAGGAUUGCAACGACUUUGACAAAGUCACUGAAAAGAUAUUCCCAAACUGAAAUAAGAGACUCGAGAAGCACGUCUUCUCCCACCUCCUGUAUAUAACCAUAUUUUUGUAUUACCUUUCAGAGUAGAAAGAAAAAAAAAUUUGCAAAUGGAUGAAGGAAAAUUCAUGAGACAUUGAUUAUAUGGAGUGAAUGUUCUUCAAGAAAACCAAUCGUUUUGAAUAUAGUUUGCGAAAGACUCACUGAGUUUCCUUUAGUUUGCCAGUAACCCUGAAAUAUUCGGGGAUGGAAAGGAAACCCACAUGGACUGAGGUGUUGGACAUGUGGCUCCAAGACUUGACUGAUAGUUACUUAUCAAAGAUGGAUGUUGCAGUCUCUACAAAAAGUCCCACCAAGAGUGUUUGAUCAACAUGCGUAGUAAAAGAGGCAGGCAUGGGUCUAAAGAGCUGUUGGCAAGGACUCUUCUACUUCAUUUCCCAACCUGAUGACUGCCUUGAAAGCUGUAGAGUGACUGCAGGCUGAAGAAUCCUUGGCAUUGGAGUCUGGCUGUGCUUUAUUUGCUGCCCUCUGCAAGGAGGAUCUAAUCUACAGCCAACCCAUGAACCAGUUAACCCUAAACAUGUCCUUUUUGAACUUAAACCCUAAGAAACUUUUCUGUCUUGACCUCGGAUAUUGGCAUUAUGAGUUGGACAGUUACCAGAUGACGUUACAGGUUUAUCGACCAUGGAUCCCAUCUGUGUUGGAAGUGUUAGGCUUGGGAUUUCAUCAGGCGCUCUCCAGCGAGGAGGAUAAAGAGGCAUGUACUGCCCAGAUGUCAUCGCCAAUCUCAGCCUAAAAUUCUCAGAUGGCUGCGUGUGGAGAUCUUCUAACCAAGAGGACAGAAGACCUGCCUAGACGUCAGAGACUGAGAGCUGGGUUGGGUUUCGGCAAACGUGGCUGGAUUUCGUCGAAGCCACCAGAAAUCCCUGCAGCUGUGGAACAGGAUGGACUGAAAGAAUUGUAUAAAAAGACUUUGAAACAUGACAAAACACAAACACAUAGCUACAUGUCACAUAGAUAUAGAGUCCAAAGGAGUUGCAGACACACUACAUGCACACCUACAGCAAACGCAACGUACACACAGUUACAUUGGCUCUCCUCUGGAACCACGUCUGCAUACACACCAGGGCUACAUCAAAUCACACAGAUACAGACACACACAAGCAUCAGCGCUCAUCAGUAUAAACGUUGAGCUUUGUAAAUAAUGUAAAAGUUUGUGUUUUGAUUUUUCUCUCAUAGUGGAUUUUGCUUUAUUUCUCUGUUCAACAUGCCUUAAAUUGUAUAGUUCAGUCUUGAAUGGCGAACUGAAGAUGUUCUCAAAAUGAUGACUUUAAGUUGGAAAUCACCUUGUUGACUGUCCUAACAUCAAAGAAAGAAGAGCUUUCUAUGAGACAGUUUUCUGUUAGCUGACAGAACCCUCUGAUCUGUAUUAACCUGAUACAUGUACUACCAUGAAAUGUACUAGUUAGCUACAGAAUAGAGCAGCAAGCGGUCUUUGAUUAAUCUGAUUUUGCUGGUGGUUGGCUUUUGUUGCCCUUUUGGUUUCCUUAAAAUGAAGAGUGGAUUUGUUGAGAUUUCCUGUUUAGAUUAUUGCUAAAGGUGCAGGCUUAAUAAAGGGCUGAAGUCUGUGCUGUUCGGAGCUGAGCUGACUGGGUGGGAUGCACAGGAUUAGCACGUCGCUGUGUCGUAACUAUUGUUGGAUAUACUACUGAAGCAGUUAGUGAGUGACAGGUCAUCCUCAGAUUUAGAUACAAGUUGGGGCUUUUUUUUCUGAUAUAUAUAUUUUUUUCACACUGGGGAACUUAAAUGUUUUGGUACUUUUUACAGUGUAGAGAUGUCAAAUCAGGCUUGUAUUAGAAGCAGGGUUGUAUGAGCAAGCUUGCGUGAUUUGUAAUGAUUGUGGGUUUUGACACUAAACCUCGAGGUGGGGUCACAACUUGCCUCUGCUUUGUUUGCGCACCUGGUAGUACUGCUGACCAUCCCUGAUGGCACUGAAUAGACGAGGAAUCGACCAGUCAGUAGUGUGUUGUCUCGAGAGGAAAUUCCAUGUGCCGAAAAUUUAGAAAGUGUCUUCUUCCAUGUAUGUGUAUCGACUUGGAUUUGAGAGAUUGAUACUUUUAGUCAACCAGUAGUCUUUUCAUACCCUUGAUUACUAAACAAUAUGCAGUUUUUAAUCCAAAUUUGCGACUUAUAUUCAUUGAAUACCGUCAGCUUAUACUUGAGAUAGAUACAUGUCCAUUUUGUUUAGCUGAGGUGUUGGUGGAUAGUCACCUGAUGUAGCCACAGGUAGGCUCCAGUACGUCAUAACUGUUGAAUUGAUCUUGAAUUAAUAUUAAUGGUUACUAAGUUUAAUGCUGUUGCAAUCAUUUGCCAAAACGAGGACAUUGACUUUAAUCACGAGUACGCUAUCAAAGUCUCUUAUUUGUGAAUGACUUUAAAAAUACCUGUUUGACAUUUUUUUUUAAAGAGCUCAUGUCGUGUGGUGUCAGUUGUCGGGUCGGUCGGUCUGUCUUAAAAGAUGAAUUCGAGGUUGUUUGCAGUUUAUUUUACUGCGCUACACAUGCUUUUAUGAUUAGAUAGAAACCACAGCUUUGUGUUGUCGGAAAGCCCCGGAUGUUUAGUUGCAGCCUUUUAAAGAUCCUGUCACGGCCCGUCUGCUCGGCGGUAUGAAGUCGAUCAUCUGGUUUUGUUAGAAACCAGUUCCAACAAUAGUUUGAAAGAAGAAGAAAAAAAAAUAUGAUUAUUAUAUCCCAGUCAGCUCCGCUCCUUUUGCUUAAUGAGUCUUUGAAUGUUGUUAAAAUAACAGCAUACAUGUAAUGAAACUGUUUUGGAAAAGAACAACUGAAAGAUGUGUAAAUAGUUUGGCUUUUGUUUGUUUGAAGAACAAAAUAAAUACUAAAUAAAUAGCAUUUAGCAGUGA